UCUGUAGUGGCAUAGUGGUUUGAGCAUUGGACUGUGACUCUAGAGACGAGGGAUCAAAUCUCAGCCAUGAAA